rnacentral:rRNA from 1 species
CAGAGGGGGCAAGCGUUAUUCGGAAUUAUUGGGCGUAAAGGGCGCGUAGGCGGCUUUGCAAGUGACGGGUGAAAGCCCUCGGCUUAACCGAGGAACUGCCUGUCAGACUGUGAGGCUUGAGACCGGGAGAGGUGAGUGGAAUUCCCAGUGUAGCGGUGAAAUGCGUAGAUAUUGGGAGGAACACCAGUGGCGAAGGCGGCUCACUGGACCGGAACUGACGCUGAGGCGCGAAAGCGUGGGGAGCAAACAGGAUUAGAUACCCCGGUAGUCCACGCCGUAAACGAUGAGUGCUUGGUGUAGCGGGUAUCGACCCCUGCUGUGCCGAAGUCAACACAUUAAGCACUCCGCCUGGGGAGUACGGUCGCAAGACUG